rnacentral:lncRNA from 1 species
ACAGAUUUGAGCUAAAGAUUGCCUAAGCUUAUAUACUAAUUAGUUCAAGAACCAUUUUCAGCCAACAUGAAAUACUUUUCCCAGGUAACAUCCCUAUCAUGUAUAAGGUGGUCUUUCUUUCACUAGUCUUUAUCGUGUGAAAAUAUUAUAUGGAUCUGACUUAUGUAUGAAUUUGAUUUUGAUAAUGUAUAAAAGAUCGUGGACUUAGCUCAUAAGUAAAAGUUAACUUAAGAGAUGAGGUUUUCUUCUCACACUUAUAAACUAACUACCUAUUAUUUCUUUAAGAUGGAUUUAAAAUAAGUUCGUAUGAUGCUACAUCAAUUGUUCAUGCUUUGGGGUAAGAUAGAUAAAAAUUAUCUGUAAGUCCUUUCGUUAAUGGCACAAUUAGUUACUCAAUUGUCUAAGAACAUGUGAAAAUGACAAGUGCACGGGUGUGUGAUUUUAAUGUUCAUCGAGUUUGAAAAUUCAGUUUCAGAAGAUGAUCGAUUCAUCUUCAAGUUCCAGUGCAUUGCAACUUCUUCGCAAACUAAUGAAGUAGCUGCUGCGUACGGAUGUUGGAGUGGCCUAACUUGUACGACUGUAAUUAUUACAAGAGCAGAUUAGGCAGUAUGCAUUAGGCAAAGACAUAAAGGAAAAAAAGUGCAUGCACCAGCUGCCAGUGCCCAGUUGGUCUCCACCACAUAUAAUAUGCCUAACACAGGGACCACGUGUCGUGAGUGAAAAAGAAAUUAUAGGUUGGCGUUUUUCUUGUUUUAUUUGCUUGUUUGAGGAACAACAAGGUUACUUAUAUUCAUUUAGUUAAUGACAUAUCUGGGGAUGUGAUCAAGCUAAUCGAGUAAUAAGAAUCUUAUUAUAUGUACCACCCCCUCAGUCAGAAUUUUAAGUAUGACGAAUGAUGGGGGUUCUUUUAAUCUUUUAGGCAAGUGGGAAUGUUUGGGGUUCACCACAAUAAUUCCAUGAUCCAUCAAAGGUCCUGAAAUUUGAAAUGAAGAAUAUCUUUCUUGUUUUGAGC